GACGAACGCUGGCGGCGUGGAUUAGGCAUGCAAGUCGAACGGUAGGAUACCUUCGGGUAUCUGAGAGUGGCGAACGGGUGAGUAACACGUAGGUGAUCUACCCUCAAGAUUGGGACAACCCAGGGAAACUUGGGCUAAUACCGGAUGAAAGCAGCAGUGAUGUUGUUUGAAAGGUGGCGUAAGCUGCCGUUUGGGGAUGAGCCUGCGCUCUAUUAGUUAGUUGGCGGGGUAAAGGCCCACCAAGGCGAUGAUAGAUAGGCGGCCUUAACGGGUGGUCGCCCACACUGGGAUUGAGAUACGGCCCAGACUCCUACGGGAGGCAGCAGUCGAGAAUAGUCUACAAUGGCCGAAAGGCUGAUAGUGCGACGCCGCGUGAACGAAGAAGCCCUUCGGGUGUAAAGUCUUUUAUAUGUGAGCAGUGCUUUCUAUGUGAACAGCAUGGGAGAGAGAUAUUAGCAUAUGAAUAAGCAACGGCUAACUCCGUGCCAGCA
rnacentral:rRNA from 1 species